rnacentral:lncRNA from 1 species
AACACAUCCUCCGAGAGCAACUUCUCCCAACCAUCCAGGAACAGUUUGGUGACGAACAAUGCCUUUUCCAGCAUGAUGGAGCACCUUACCAUAAGGCAAAAGUGAUGACUAAGUGGCUCAGGGAACAAAACAUUGAUAUUUUGGGUCCAUGGCCAGGAAACUCCCCAGACCUUAAUCCCAUUGAGAACUUGUGGUCAAUCCUGUAGAGGUGGGUGGACAAACAAAAACCCACAAAUUCUGACAAACUCCAAGCAUUGAUUAUGCAAGAAUGGGCUGCCAACAGUCAGGAUGUGGCCCAGAACUUAAUUGACAGCAUGCCAGGGUGGAUUACAGAGGACUUGGAAAAGAAGGGUCAACACAGCAAAUAUUGACUCUUUGCAUCAACUUCAUGUAAUUGUCAAUAAAAGCCUUUGACACUUGUGAAAUGCUUGUAAUUAUACUUCAGUAUUCCAUAGUAACAUCUGACAAAAAUAUCUAAAGACACUGAGGCAACAGACUUUGUGAAAAUGAAUAUUUGUGUCAUUCUCAAAACUUUUGGCCAUGACUGUACACACACUCACAUACAAACAAAAUGUAGAGUUGGGAUAUUGGGUUGUCCUGUUCUCAAACUGAUCAGAUGGGGACUUUAUAUGAAUGACUCAUCUUUUCUGUUUUGUUAUAGUCUUUGUGGUACAGCUUGUGCCAGAAGAAAUUGUACAAAUCAUAAUCUCGAGCAGGGAUGGGCAACUUUUUCCCAAUUUGUUUUAGGAACUCAGUCGGGUCUCAACUUACUGUUGAGUUAGAAUAGUAAAAUAUACAAGGUUAGUGGCGUUCUAAUAUGGCAUCUGGAGUAUGGGCGAGUGGGUGUGUGGAAAGUGGUGGGUGUGUCAAAUCACUCUAUAGGUUAGACUGUUUUGAUUGAGCUGUUUAUUUUCUAAUGUUUCUUACAAUGCAACUACCGUACAAUGAGCUACUGUACCGCAAGAGUUUGGACUAUUGUUCUGAAACCAGAGGAUGAGUCAGUCGUAUUUCACUGUUUUACACAAAUACUUUGUAAAUGUUCAGUUGUAAAACUGACAAUUGUUUAUUUUUUAUUAAAAGUACUGAUGUUGGGUGUACUGUUGUUAAAUGCAUCAUAUGCGUGUUCUUACUGUGACCCCGAUACUAGCUAGCUACUUCCCACGCCGUUGCCGGACAAUAGUGAUUAUCAAGCG